AUUCAACUGACGAGUCCCGAAUGGGAUGAAACACGCGUCCUGGAU
rnacentral:hammerhead_ribozyme from 1 species